rnacentral:rRNA from 1 species
AAGGAGUCUAACAUGUGUGCAAGUGUUCGGGAGUCAAGUCCCAAGCGCGAAAUUAACGUAAAGGUGGGUUUCGGCCCGCUGAGGUAGGAAGCUUCGGCUGCACUAUCGACCGACCAUGAUCCUUCGAGUGAAAGGUUUGAGUGUGAGCAUACAUGUUGGGACCCGAAAGAUGGUGAACUAUGCUUGAGUAGGACGAAGCCAGGGGAAACUCUGGUGGAGGUCCGUAGCGAUUCUAACGUGCAAAUUGAUCGUCAAACUUGAGUAUAGGGGCGAAAGACUAAUCGAACCAUCUAGUAGCUGGUUCCUCCCGAAAUUUCCCUUAGGAUAGCUGCAACCGAACAGUUUUAUCAGGUAAAGCGAAUGAUUAGAGGCCUCAGGGGUGAAAUGCUCUUGACCUAUUCUCAAACUUUAAAUGGGUAAGAGCCCCGAGUUGCUUAAUUGAACUCGGCGGUCGAAUGACGGUUGCUAGUGGGCCAUUUUGGGUAAGCUAGAUUGGCGAUGCGGGAUGCUCCGAACGUUAAGUUAAAGUGCCAAAGUAUCCGCUAACCUAGAUCCCACAAAAGGUGUUGGUUCAUUAAGACAGCAGGACGGUGGCCAUGGAAGUCGGAAC